rnacentral:rRNA from 1 species
AGUGAACGCUGGCGGUAGGCCUAACACAUGCGAGUCGAACGGCAGCACAGUAAGAGCUUGCUCUUACGGGUGGCGAGUGGCGGACGGGUGAGGAAUACAUCGGAAUCUACUUUUUCGUGGGGGAUAACGUAGGGAAACUUACGCUAAUACCGCAUACGACCUACGGGUGAAAGCAGGGGAUCUUCGGACCUUGCGCGAUUGAAUGAGCCGAUGUCGGAUUAGCUAGUUGGCGGGGUAAAGGCCCACCAAGGCGACGAUCCGUAGCUGGUCUGAGAGGAUGAUCAGCCACACUGGAACUGAGACACGGUCCAGACUCCUACGGGAGGCAGCAGUGGGGAAUAUUGGACAAUGGGCGCAAGCCUGAUCCAGCCAUACCGCGUGGGUGAAGAAGGCCUUCGGGUUGUAAAGCCCUUUUGUUGGGAAAGAAAAGCAGCAGGUUAAUACCCCGCUGUUCUGACGGUACCCAAAGAAUAAGCACCGUCUAACUUCGUG